UACGGAGGGGGCAAGCGUUGUUCGGAGUUACUGGGCGUAAAGCGCACGUAGGCGGUCUUGCCAGUCAGGGGUGAAAGCCCGGGGCUCAACCCCGGAACUGCCUCUGAUACUGCAAGACUAGAGACUAGGAGAGGGUGGUGGAAUUCCCAGUGUAGAGGUGAAAUUCGUAGAUAUUGGGAGGAACACCAGAGGCGAAGGCGGCCACCUGGACUAGAUCUGACGCUCAGGUGCGAAAGCGUGGGGAGCAAACAGG
rnacentral:rRNA from 1 species